rnacentral:rRNA from 1 species
CCUACGGGUGGCAGCAGUGGGGAAUAUUGGGCAAUGGAGGAAACUCUGACCCAGCAACGCCGCGUGAAUGAUGAAGGUCUUCGGAUUGUAAAGUUCUUUUCUAAGGGAAGAAGAAAGUGACGGUACCUUAGGAAUAAGCCUCGGCUAACUACGUGCCAGCAGCCGCGGUAAUACGUAGGAGGCAAGCGUUAUCCGGAAGGACUGGGCGUAAGGGGUGCGUAGGUGGUUCAGCAAGUUAGUAGCGUAAUUCCGGAGCUCAACUUCGGCAUUACUACUAAAACUGUUGGACUUGAGUGCAGGAGGGGCAACUGGAAUGUCUAGUGUAGCGGUGGAAUGCGUAGAUAUUAGGAAGAACACCGGUGGCGAAGGCGAGUUGCUGGACUGUAACUGACACUGAGGCACGAAAGCGUGGGGAGCAAACAGGAUUAGAUACCCCAGUAGUC